rnacentral:hammerhead_ribozyme from 1 species
AUCCGACUGACGAGUCUCAAACGGGACGAUACUCACGUCCUGGAU